UACGGGGGGGGCAAGCGUUGUUCGGAAUUACUGGGCGUAAAGGGCGCGUAGGCGGCCCACUAAGUCAGACGUGAAAUCCCCCGGCUUAACCUGGGAACUGCGUCUGAUACUGGAGGGCUUGAGUAUGGGAGAGGGAUGUAGAAUUCCAGGUGUAGCGGUGAAAUGCGUAGAUAUCUGGAGGAACACCGGUGGCGAAGGCGGCCUGCUGGGACGUGGCUGACGCUGAAGCGCGACAGCGUGGGGAGCAAACAGG
rnacentral:rRNA from 1 species